UACAUCGGAACGUACCUCGUAGUGGGGAGUAACUCGGCGAAAGCCGUGCUAAUACCGCAUAUGCUCUACGGAGGAAAGCAGGGGACCUGCAAGGGCCUUGUGCUAUGGGAGCGGCCGAUGUCCGAUUAGCUUGUUGGUGGGGUAAUGGCCUACCAAGGCGACGAUCGGUAGCUGGUCUGAGAGGAUGAUCAGCCACACUGGGACUGAGACACGGCCCAG
rnacentral:rRNA from 1 species